GGGGCGCGCACAUCCGGCGCGCGCUGUGUCGGGGAGCGGCGCUCUGGGCUGGGCCGGCAGAGGGCGCUGCGGGGCGGCCGUGGAACAAGCAGGGGAGAGCGUCAGGGGACCCAGCACAGCCUGCCUGCUGCGCCCUGCUGCCGGCCGCGCCCUCCUCCGUGCUGCGUUCUCCUGCUCGACGCUGCGUCCUCAUCCAACACUGGCACCGCGCGCUCCUUCCAGGGUCGGAGGCCCACAGACCCCUCACGUUCGCUUCUGUCAGGAGUAGCGGCAGAAUUUCGAUAAUUUAUGUCUUUGAUGGAGACUGGGAAGGUAGCCUGGCCGCUGCGCAGGAGAGCUGCGCGGGGUCCAGGAGGGGAGCGCGGAGUGGGAGCAGUCGACUCGGGCUGCGCAGUGCGUGUCGGCUGUCACGGGACACCGGUGAGGACCCUGCACCCAGAGUCGGGGGUCCAGGCUGUUGCUGGAACAGGAGGCAGCUCGGUGUCCACGGUUCCGCAGGGGGCCGCUGUCUGCUUGGAUCUUUCAUCAGGUCCCAGGCAGAGGGUGCGCUCUCUACUCAGCUUCACUCCUUGGGACAGAAGUGUGGCUGCUGAUCCUGGAGUAGGGAAGGAGAAGGAAGCAUUUGCAUGAUUAAAAUAUUUUUUUUUAUCUUGGUAAAAUACACAUAACAUGAAAUGUACCAUGUUAACCAUUUUUAAGUACUAUUUUAAUGUACUAUUCAGUGACAUUAAGUUCAUCGAACAUUGGUGUGCAAUCGUCACCACCAUCCAUUUACAGAAGUCUUUUCAUCUUGAAAGUCUGAAACUUUGUAUCUAUUGAACAACAAUUCCACAUUUCCCCCUUCCCCCAGGCCCUGGCAACCACCAUUCUACUUUGUCUCUAGGAAUUGGACUACUCUAGGUAUCUCAUAUAAGUCUAAUGAAACAGCAUCUGUCCUUUGUGACUGGCUUAUUUCAGGUAGCAUAAUGACCUCAAGGUUCAUCCAUGUAGUAGCAAGUGUCAGAAUGACCCUCCUUUUUAAGGCUGAAUAAUAUUCCAUUGCAUGUCUAUACCACAAUUUGCUUAUCUGUUCAUCCAUCGAUGGACACUGGGUUUGGUUCUACCUCUUAGCUGUUGUGAACAAUGCUACCAUGAACACGGGCGUACAAAUAUCUGUUUGAAAUCCUGCUUUCAGUUCUUUUGUAUAUAUGCCUAGAAAUGGAGUUGAGUUGCUGGAUCAGAUGGUAAUCCUGUGUUGAAUAUUUUGAGGAACGCCAUACUGUUUUCCAUAGUGACAGUUGCAUGAUUUUUAAAAAGUGGCUUACUUUCAACACAUUUUUUAAGGUAAUAUUUUGGACCAAAUGGUUAAUAAGACUGUGGUGACGAGGUGCAAGACUCUGGGAAGAUGGCCAAAAGGCACUGUUCUUUUUCAUUCUUGUUUUCUGUCCCCAGCCCAUGCCCCUGCUGGCAGCCCUGGGCUUGCCAUCCAUCUGGAAGCUAGGAAGGGCUGAGUCACCCAGCAUUCUGGGGCUGGGUGCACCCUUUCUAUAGUGUCUUAGGAGGAUGCAGAAGUAAUGGCUACAGAGCAGCUGCUGAAGGAGGAGGAGGGCUCACGAACUGCUAGAAUUUUAAAGGGCUGCAGCCCCUGAAGUCCUGGGCCCUGUUUUACAGAUAAGGGAACAAAGACUGCUGCAAGGAGAAGCAUGUGGAAGAAGACAGCUCUGAGGAUGCAGAGCCCCAAAGGACGUGCUUGCCAUUCCUGGAGAGGAAUGGCAUCAGGGACCCAGGCCACAUGCAGUGCGGCCAGGGACAGAGCACCACCUGUGCGUGUGGACAUUUCACAUUUUUCCUCCAUGGAAAAAUGUAGGAAACCCUACAGCUUGGGUUUCCUCUGUUACUGAGGCUUCCUCUGUUACUGAGGCUAACUGGGACAUUUGUCUAUUUAGCAUUUAUCUACUAUGUGUUGAAAGAGAGGCGGGUGGGGGAGAAGAUUAGGAAGCCUUUAAACAAAGCUCCAAGUAGAGCUGUCUCGACAUGAUUCAAAACUGCAUCCUUAGAUGCUUGGUGGUAUAAAGGUCUUGCCAAUUCCCAUUACAACACAUAUUGCAACAUGCCUUUCUUCUCGUAAAUGUCUUCUGAAGGUCACUCCAGCCCCUGCCAGUCCCUCUCCCCUUGACUUUCUGCCAGUGCCCAACUGUGAACCCGUAGAGCCAUCUGCUCUCCCCUCCUGCUUACCUGCAACUGAUGGCUGGCCAAGAAGAUAGGAGAGUUAUGCGAUUGGUCAAGGACUGGUGUGAGGUCUCCUGCUGUGCUGCACAUGGGGCUCGGAAUCUGAAGGUGUGACCUUCCCAUUCUUCUGUGACAAACCUGGUGCUGCCCAGCAGAGUGGAAAGAGCAUGUUUUUUUUUGUGGUAAGUUCCAACGGCAGCUGCACCAGGUAAGAGCUGUGUGAUUUUGGACUCAUAACUUACCAGCUCUGAGACUUCUUUUUCUCAUCUAUAAAAUGGGGAAGAGAGCAAGUAACUACACAGAAACUUUGGGAAGACUGAAGAGGCCUUGCCGAUGAAGCACGUGGCACCCAGAAAGUGCUUUGAUCCCCAGCUCACAGUGAUAAUGCUUGUGGGUCCGCAUGUCCCUUGCUCUUACUUGCAAUGUCUGUUCUUCAUCAGUCUCUGCAACCACAUCUUCUCUCUCUGCACCCACCUCUUAUGUAUUUUUACCCUACAAACUCUGUAGGAAAUGUGUGCUCCACAUGGCUCUGCUCUCUGCUAAUUUAACAGAUGCUCUUUCUGAGUAACUCACACUCCAGGGUUUUUUUUUUAUUAAUUAAUUAUUAUUAUCAUUAUUUUUACCACCAACCCUGCUCCUUGGUCUCCAGAUGAACCUGCCUAACUCCUCACUGCCUAGCAGACAGCAGCUUUGGAAUGUCCAGCAGACACAGUCAAGACUGAACUCACUUCCUUCCUGCAGCCUGCUCCUCCGGCCUCUUCCAAGUCUCCACUGGUGAUACCACCUUCCGCUCCCUCACAGGGGGUCAUGGUGAAUGCCUCAGCUCCUUAACCCCCGUUAUGGAAGGCCUUUGGAAUUCACUCUCCUUUAAUGGGUCUCAUAUUCCCCCCUUUCUUUAUUUAUAUUGGUACUUCCUUAGUUUAAUUCAUCAAGAUCUUGGCCUUUGAAGGAGUUAUUUCCUUUCUGCACUGCCUUUCUUUUGUCUGCCCAGCAAAUCCCACCUGGUCCUCUCCUCCCCUAUCCGUGCUCAACGUCCCUUCCUGGGUGAAGCCUUCCUCACCCAACACAUAGCACUUGGGUUAUGGCCAGUUGAGUCUCCCAGCAGCAGGAGCCUUCAUGUCUCCAAUGGCCUCUGCUCCUAGCACGCCUGCUGGCACCCACAGGUGUUUAUGGAAUUGACUCAGUGUCUAGGAAAAUAUGCAUUUAUUUCAAAAAAUACGUAGUAAAAUAAAAAUUAGAUUCAAGAAAACAUCCCUAUAAAUUUUGGUCUGUGAUAGUGCCAUACACAGUAAUGUUAUCAGAACAUCUGUCAUUGGUCAAGGCUGAGGAGGAAGCUCUGUUUUGAUCAGCAUCUUGGACCACCAGUGAUGAAGACUUUCACUCACUGAAGUCCACAUUCUUUCUGCUGGGGGAAAAUCCAGGUAGCUACAGGCCUCUGUCUGGCAGGGGUGUGCAACGGUGAGUGGUGAGGCAGCAUCCUGACCCAGAGACCAGUUGGUUGCCCUGCACUCUGACAGGGAGGUGGGACCCUGGCCACAUGAAUCGCCUGCCAUGACCCCAGGCCCCCUUCACUGUAUCCCCUGCUGUGUGCUUCCUCUCUGCCUGCUCGCCUGUGCCAGCCCCACUUGGCUUGUGCUCCUGAGACCUCUUCUUCUCUCCUUCAUGCUUUCAACUUGCAGGAAGCUUCCUGCCCGCUCAGUGGUCACCGUAAGAUUGGUUCCCAGAGAGUCAGCCCUUUGGUGGCAAACAGAGGGGCUGGAGGAGGGGAGGGUCUGCUCCCUGCAUUCAGGGCUGCCUCUGCCUGGGACCCACGCUCCUGGGGUCCUGGACUUGCCCUUCACCUCUCCUCUCAUUCUCGCCCCUGGUGGCCCCUCAGCUGCUCCCUGGGUUUUACCCUUGGUACCUGAUAUAGUUCGGCUAUUUCCCCACCCAAAUCUCAUCUUGAAUUCCGACGUGUUGUAAGAGGGACCUGGUGGGAGGCAAUUGAAUUACGAGGGCAGGUCUUUCCCAUGCUGUUCUCUUGAUAGUGAAUAAGUCUCAUGAGAUCUUACAGUAUUGUAAGGGGGAAUUUCCUUGCCCAAUUUCUCCCUCUUUGCCUGCUGCCAUCCACGGAAGACGUGACUUGCUCCACCUUGCCUUCUGCCAUGAUUGUGAGGCUUCCCUUGCCACGUGGAACUGUAAGUCCAAUUAAAACUCUUUCUUUUGUAAACUG